ACAACGAAGAGUUUGAUCCUGGCUCAGGAUAAACGCUAGCGGCAGGCCUAACACAUGCAAGUCGAGCGGUAACAUGAGAUAGCAAUAUUUUGAUGACGAGCGGCGGACGGGUGAGUAACGCGUAUGCAACCUGCCCACCACACGGAGAUAGCCGACCGAAAUGACGAUUAAACUCCGAUGGCACCUUCUGGGGGCAUCCCCGAAAGGUUAAAUAUUUAUAGGUGGUGGAUGGGCAUGCGUGGCAUUAGUUAGUUGGCGGGGCAACGGCCCACCAAGACGAUGAUGCCUAUGGGUUCUAAAAGGAAGAUCCCACACAUCGGUACUGAGACACGGACCGAAC
rnacentral:rRNA from 1 species